rnacentral:rRNA from 1 species
CUUCAUAAGGUCCCGUUAGGUGCCGCUUAGAUGCACCUCGAACGAUGAACCGCUUUCGGGCGGGGAUUAGUGGCGAACGGGUGAGUAACACGUGGGCAAUCUGCCCUGCACUCUGGGACAAGCCCUGGAAACGGGGUCUAAUACCGGAUACUCACUGCCUUGGGCAUCCUUGGCGGUGGAAAGCUCCGGCGGUGCAGGAUGAGCCCGCGGCCUAUCAGCUAGUUGGUGAGGUAAUGGCUCACCAAGGCGACGACGGGUAGCCGGCCUGAGAGGGCGACCGGCCACACUGGGACUGAGACACGGCCCAGACUCCUACGGGAGGCAGCAGUGGGGAAUAUUGCACAAUGGGCGAAAGCCUGAUGCAGCGACGCCGCGUGAGGGAUGACGGCCUUCGGGUUGUAAACCUCUUUCAGCAGGGAAGAAGCGAGAGUGACGGUACCUGCAAAAAAAGCGCCGGCUAACUACGUGCCAGCAGCCGCGGUAAUACGUAGGGCGCAAGCGUUGUCCGGAAUUAUUGGGCGUAAAGAGCUCGUAGGCGGCUUGUCACGUCGGUUGUGAAAGCCCGGGGCUUAACCCCGGGUCUGCAGUCGAUACGGGCAGGCUAGAGUUCGGUAGGGGAGAUCGGAAUUCCUGGUGUAGCGGUGAAAUGCGCAGAUAUCAGGAGGAACACCGGUGGCGAAGGCGGAUCUCUGGGCCGAUACUGACGCUGAGGAGCGAAAGCGUGGGGAGCGAACAGGAUUAUAUACCCUGGUAGUCCACGCCGUAAACGGUGGGCACUAGGUGUGGGGCAAUUUUCCACGUUGUCCGUGCCGCAGCUAACGCAUUAAGUGCCCCGCCUGGGGAGUACGGCCGCAAGGCUAAACUCAUAUGAAUUGACGGUGGCCCGCACAAUCUGCGGAGCAUGUGUCUUAUUUCUACGCAACGCGAAAACCUUAUCAUGGGCUUGAAUAUCUCCGGAAAUGGCAAGAGAUGUCGCCCCCCUUGGGGUCGAGGUACAUGUGGUGGAAU